rnacentral:rRNA from 1 species
CCUACGGGAGGCAGCAGUGGGGAAUAUUUGGCAAUGGGCGCAAGCCUGACCCAGCAACGCCGCGUGAAGGAAUGAGGCCCUCGGGUUGUAAACUUCUUUUAUCAGGGACGAAACAAAUGACGGUACCUGCUGAAUAAGCCGCGGCUAACUACGUGCCAGCAGCCGCGGUAAUACGUAGGUGGCAAGCGUUAUCCGGAUUUACUGGGUGUAAAGGGCGUGUAGGCGGGUGAGCAAGUCAGACGUGAAAUUCCAGGGCUCAACCCGGGAACUGCGUUUGAAACUGUUCUUCUUGAGUGAUGGAGAGGGAGGCGGAAUUCCGGGUGUAGCGGUGAAAUGCGUAGAUAUACGGAGGAACACCAGUGGCGAAGGCGGGCUGCUGGACAUUAACUGACGCUGAGGCGCGAAAGCGUGGGGAGCAAACAGGAUUAGAUACCCCAGUAGUC